CCCGAAGAUUAUAUUAUCAUCGUUUCAACCACGGUUAUUGCGACUACCACCAAUAAAACCAGCCCAGCAGCGCACAACGCCGCGGUGCUACAAGAUAAUAGAAGUUUUCUGUAGACUUCCCCGAGUCCCGGCAGACAGGAUUUAUUCACAGAAGAAGCCCCACAGAUAUCCCCAGCCGCCUUGGGAAAGCACAGAGGCGUGCCGCCUCUCUCCCGGUGAGGCUUGGCUCGCACUUUUACGUCGUGGUGUGCUUGUUUUAAGGUUUCUACAUCCCAACCCGCCCUCGGUAUUUCUGUGCAGCGGAGGAAAAAGGAAAAGAAAAAGACCACCGCCGACCCACAGCCCCGCGGCUGCUCUCGCCCCACAGCCUGGUGCUGCGCCCGCGGCGCGGGGGCGAGCGGAGCUCUGAUGUGGGCAGAGCUUGCUCUGUGCUUGGGAGCUACGGCGCCUUUCUUUCUUUUAUUUUUUUUUCUUUUUUUUUUUCUUUAAAUUUUUCUUUUUUUUUUUUUCUUUAAUUUUUUUCUUUUUUUUUUCUUUAUUUUUUCCUUUAUUAUUAUUUUUUCUUUAUUAUUAUUUUCCUUUAUUAUUUUUAUUAACGCGCUUAUGUGACUGGAAAUAUAUAUCAAAAUUCUUUAUGUAGGGCACUAAGUGUAUGUGUAUAUUUAGGCUAGCUGCUGAAGAAGUCCAGGACAAGCAGGAAGAGAGCUGCUCUCCUCUCUGAGGUCGGCGUGGCACUGUAAAACACGACGGGGAGAGUAAAAACUCCGCAAUCCGCUUCAUCCCUCG